CCUACGGGUGGCAGCAGUGAGGAAUAUUGGUCAAUGGGCGGAAGCCUGAACCAGCCAAGUAGCGUGCAGGAUGACGGCCCUACGGGUUAUAAACUGCUUUUAUACGGGAAUAACGCGCCUUACGUGUAGGGCUUUGCAUGUACCGUAUUAAUAAGGACCGGCUAAUUCCGUGCCAGCAGCCGCGGUAAUACCGAAGGUCCCGGCGUUAUCCGGAUUUGUUGGGUGUAAAGGGAGCGUAGGCCGCAUGUCAAGCGUGCUGUGAAAGGUCCGGGCUCAACCCGGGCAUUGCAGCGCGAACUGGGGUGCUUGAGUGCGCGGAAGGCAGGCGGAAUUCGUAGUGUAGCGGUGAAAUGCGUAGAUAUGACGAAGAACACCGAUUGCGAAGGCAGCUUGCUGCAGCGGAACUGACGCUGAUGCUCGAAAGCGCGGGUAUCGAACAGGAUUAGAUACCCCGGUAGUC
rnacentral:rRNA from 1 species